CUGUUUCUCUCAUUUUCUCCAGCAUACCAGGACCUGAGUAUCCUGCUGCAGCUGCAUCAAAAAGAUCAAUCGCAAAUGUGAUGCUCUCUGCAGAUCUCCCACAGGUGUGGGCCUUCCAAACCCCUUUGAGACAAAUUGCACAUUUAUCCCCUCUGAAACGCCCACAUGAAGGCUGCAGCAUGUGCAUGUACUAUAGGAGAAAUGAGGUUUAGAGUCAGUUUUGCAACAGCCAGUGAACCCCUACUUGGUCAACCCGGGACUCUGGCUCAGCUGGAUGUGGACUUGGCCGGGCACUGCCACUCUGGGCGCCAGUUCCAACCUAGCACCAAGGUGAUGAAGGAAGACUCUGUCCCCAGUAACCCUUCCUUUACCCACGUCUACAGAGCGCAUCGGUGUGCUUAAAAGUGUGGUCCUGCCCAGGUGCUUCUGAACAAGGAGUUAUGACAAUGGUCCAUCAUCUGAGCGGCAUAUCAAAGUGGCCAAUGAUGAUUUGAUGAUGGUUGUUGGUCCCACCAUAAGGGUAGGGCCUCUCGCUUCAGAAAGAUGUGCGCUCAUCAUAGAGGUGCCUUUUGUCUUUGAUUGAAGCCUUCAUUUUAAUGUCGUGCCUGGUUUACCUGUCGUAAUCUGAAUGCAUUUCAACAGAGGAAUUGAAGAUGACAGCAAAAUGAAAAUGAGAUUUAUUUCCUUUUCUGCUUUGCUGUCCCACCAGGUUUCAGCCCAUAUGAGCACCACUGCCCGCCACCUGUUUUGUAGGAAAACAAUGUUCAGCACAAGCAUUCCCAAAUCCAAAAGGGGAUAAAGGGAAAGGAGAGGUAAAGGCAAAGCAUUUGGUUUGAGCAUGCUGAGCGCAUACCAGGGCUCAGCUCACAGAUUCCAAAGGCAAGCUGAUGGAAGCGAGCCAGGCUCCUUCACACGGGACAGGGGCAGAAAUGAAAAAUGAGGGAGAGGACAGACAGAGAUGGAUUGAGCGGAGCUGCUAGAAGGGGGCAUUAAAAAGAUUUUCUCUUUAAUCAAAACCCCAGGAUGCUGAUGGAAAAAGGGGGGAAAGAUGGGGAGAAGGAAAGAAUGACAAAGAUAAAGGGAAGAAGAUCGAGGAGAGCUGCAGCUGGAGUAUCUCAAAGCCUCCCACCUCUCACCCCAUAACCCCUGUCUGCCUUCUGUUUGCCCUCAUACCCAACUAUCUCAACCCCCAGCAAAAAGAAAAAAGCAGCUACUGUCUCCUUGCUAAUGCCCCAAAAUGUAGUGGAUAAAAGAGAGAGAUGAAUCCGGCAGCUCAUGGAAUAAGGAUGCAGUGUGAAUUGUUGACCUCAGCUGCCAGGUGACAGAGAGGCUCUGAGGGAACCAGGCACCACUUCACCAGGAUUGAUGGUUCCAGGAGAUUCAGCAAGACAACCGAGCCACGAGUGGUUUCUCAUGUUCUCUCCAGUUUGUCUUUCUCCCACACAUGGUCACAUCACAGCCCCGAUUCCUCGGAUCCUAGACGCUGAGCCCUUAGGUGAGACUUAGUGGACGUGUGGAGGACAGGUUGUGCUCUUUGUUCAGCGACAACACUAUUCUUCCUUCUACAAGUAACUCACUGACAGACUGUUCUGCUGUCACAAAAAAGAUGGAUGAAAACACUUUGUGCUCAAGAGCGCAGAGGACAAGAAUGUCUCAGAUUUGACCUUUCACCUACACAAGCACAGCUUUUCUCAAGAUUCUUAAAUUUAGUCAAAAUAAACUUCUCAUCCACUUAGGUGUCAUCCAAAAAAUAUGUACAAGUUUGUCUUACAUGGAUGUAUUGAUUUUUCCAAUUACUGAAGCUUAGGAGGCUGAAAAAUAAUUCACAAUAAUUUCAAAUAUUGUUAACUUGUAAAAGCGUGAAUGUAAGCAUAUUUUAUUUACUCUAUAGAAUGAAUACGUGUUUGUAGUAUUCAGUCUACAAACCCCUAAGUGAUUUGGAAAAUAUAUAAAAAUUCUAAGUGUUGCUGCUUGUUUAAUUCACUGUAUCUUUUGUGUGACCUCAAAUGUGCCUGAUUGGUUGAUCAGUUGCUGCUGGUAACUCCUCUCUCUAGUGUUCAUGUAUCAGUUAUUGUAAAAUAUAUAAUAAAACAGAUAUGUAAAAAAAAAAAGAUUUUUUUCUGAAAGUUACGUAGCGUAGCUGUAAGAUAUUUUUUUGUGAGGACAAAUCAGAGUGGACUGUGCAAAAACUUAUAUAGUAAUUCAACUUGAAAGUCCUGUAGCAGCAUAAUUUAUAUACAUGAGGCUGGAAAAUUUAAUUGCCAUUUUGCCGCUAUGACUGAUGAUUGUAAAUUGUGUCAUAUCUAAAUUUUGAUUUUAAUUCAUAUCUACUGCAUGUGCUAAUUUCAAACAAUCCCUACUUAAUUUGGCAUCUACUUGACUGCAGAAACCCAUUUUUUUAUGUACAUGCAAAACUUUUGUAUUCUGAGAGUGGUGAAGUGGAAAUUCACUUGGUCCUUUCAGGUGGAAUGAAUAUUACUCAGUAGUUUCAUCAUGUUUCAUCCUUCAGACUUCAUUUGUUAGAUUUCAAGGCUGACUUGUUAAUGUACAUUGACCUAAUUGACACUAAAUUUUGCUAUUGAAAUCAGCAUAAUAUGGGAAAUGGUGGAAAAGAGAAGAACAGCGAGAAGAAAACAGAGAGUCAAGGAAAUAAUGCUAAAAAGAUGCUGCAUAAAUUUGGGUUUAAACUGAGACCAGAGGAAUAUGAGAUCCAUCCUUUUGAGACAGAGUGUCAUCUCAGGCCAGAUUACUGUCUCCAGUGCCACUCAGCUGGACCCCUCUGACAAGAAAUCCUCCAUCUAGGAGGCCUUGUAAGCCAUGCCAUCAGAGGGUGGGGUUCGGGUCAGGGGUUGGAAGUUACAGGGUUGACAGACAAGAGAGAUUGAUGUCCGUUGACAAAACUUGAGCCCAGCAGACCUGCCUGUUCCCUGGGGGCCAAAUGAGAAGGGGAUCAGGCCGAUACUAUCCCCCCUCCCCCAUCCACUUCUCAUCCACACACGCCCCCACACACAGUUUGACUCCCCCCAGUAAACCAACCCUUAAUGCAACCCUUACUGUCCUGCUCUGUCUUGUUUGAUCAUGUGCUAAACUGUGAGGGGAGGCAGCGGAAGGCCUCAGUAAAAUUAGUGCCCUGACAUAUCAUUACUUGCGAAUGCCUGCAGUAAGUGUGGCUGUCAGCUAGAGCAACAGGCUGUCACAGGGAGAAUGUAAGAUGUGAGGAGCUACAGCCCCUCCAUUCAUGCUGUCCAGUACAGUGGACAGUCACUCAGACCUAAACUAAACAACUUGAAUACCAAUGAUUAAUGGUGAUGUAUGGCAUUUGUUAGUAUUACCUCAAAAUUAGCAGUGGUGGAAAUCACCCUGUCAUCUUUAGGAUAAAAGACCUGCAUGUUCAUCGAUUUGGUGAUUUAGGUUUUUUUUUUUAAAUCAAAUAAUUGAGUGGUAUAUUAAAAUUUAUAUAAAUUUCUAUGUUUAGUUUUAUAUAAAUUCCUUGCAAAUUGAUUUAUAGCACUUUUUUUCAUGGCAAAACUAAACAGUGUAUUUUUGUUGCUUUCUAUGUGAUAAACAGAAACUAUUGUUUAAUUAUGAAGUGUAAUGAAAAAUAUUUUUUAACAUUUGGUUUAGGGAUUCUGAACUGGAUCUAGGUCUUGACUUUUACUGGGUUAUUUCAACCCAUGAAUCUGCUUUCAUCUAAGCUAUUUUAAUGUUUGUGUUUCGCUUUCUAGUGGCCUUCCUGGAAGACGCACCUCCUUAUUUGUCUCAAUGAACCAUUAUUCGUUAAAAAAAGGUGCACUGA